rnacentral:rRNA from 1 species
CCUACGGGUGGCAGCAGUGAGGAAUAUUGGUCAAUGGGCGCGAGCCUGAACCAGCCAAGUCGCGUGAGGGAAGACGGCCCUACGGGUUGUAAACCCCUUCUGUCGGGGAGCAAAGCGCGCCACGCGUGGCGCCACCGAGAGUACCCGGCGAAAAAGCAUCGGCUAACUCCGUGCCAGCAGCCGCGGUAAUACGGAGGAUGCGAGCGUUAUCCGGAUUUAUUGGGUUUAAAGGGUGCGUAGGCGGUGUGUUUAGUCAGUGGUCAAAUUGAGGGGCUCAACCCCUUCCCGCCAUUGAAACUGGCGCUCUUGAGUGUAAGAGAAGUAUGCGGAAUGCGUGGUGUAGCGGUGAAAUGCAUAGAUAUCACGCAGAACUCCGGUUGCGAAGGCAGCAUACCGGCGCGCAACUGACGCUCAUGCACGAAAGCGUGGGUAUCGAACAGGAUUAGAUACCCGUGUAGUC